rnacentral:rRNA from 1 species
AUACGGAGGAUCCGAGCGUUAUCCGGAUUUAUUGGGUUUAAAGGGAGCGUAGGCGGACGCUUAAGUCAGUUGUGAAAGUUUGCGGCUCAACCGUAAAAUUGCAGUUGAUACUGGGUGUCUUGAGUACAGUAGAGGCAGGCGGAAUUUGUGGUGUAGGGGUGGAAUGCUUAGAUAUCACGAAGAACUCCGAUUGCGAAGGCAGCCUGCUGGACUGUAACUGACGCUGAUGCUCGAAAGUGUGGGUAUCAAACAGGAUUAGAUACCCUGGUAGUCCACACAGUAAACGAUGAAUACUCGCUGUUUGCGAUAUACAGUAAGCGGCCAAGCGAAAGCGUUAAGUAUUCCACCUGGGGAGUACGCCGGCAACGGUGAAACUCAAAGGAAUUGACGGGG